CAGCUUCCGCGGCCACUGCAUGAGCGAAGGAUGUUCAAUCUCAUAUUCUCUAGUGUCGAGUCAGUUUCUUCUCUGCCUGCGCUGCCAACCUGAACAAUUAUAAUACUUGCAAAAGUUCCGAGAAGAGAUGGGAUCUUGCUAAUGGAAACUGAAGCUGUAUGGACAUUGAAUGAAUAAAUAGCAGCACACAGGACAGGACUGAGCACAUCAUUUGCUUGACUCGACGACGCGUUGAAUUUUGAAAACAUUUUAGCAGAGAGCGAAGUAGAACUAAUACUUAUUUACGACUACUGGUGCACUUUUUGCGUCGUUAUCCUCGCCUGUAUUUCAUUAUCGUUGAAACAGCAAGGUCGCAAAAAUGAAGAUGGCUUCGCACAGAGAUUUGACAGUUUUAGCAGCAAUUACCACCUUGGCUGUGCUCGCAGUGGUGACAAAAGCCGAGACAAAUUUUGCAAGUUCGUCCAUCGCCUCGGAUGGAAGUGGGACACGGUCGUCUCAAUUUGUUGGGACGAUUCCGAACGGUGGUGGGGGCAUUGGGACGAGGAUUUCAAGUCCAGGGGGUGGGGGAAGUGGGAUCACUGUAGUCUCGGGGUCAGGACCAGGUCAGUUGUCACAUCCCGGGUAGAAAUCACUGCGUCGAAUUCUGCAGUGAUCAACAAAAGCUGGAUGCAUAUUGCAUCUCGUAUAUUUGUGUAACGGUCAAGGGGGCGCAGUUUUCACCGGAAGUUCGAGCAAUGGAGGCGGCGGGGGCGGAGGAGGAGGAACCGUGGGCAUUUUCAGCCGGACAGGACCUUCCGGAACUCAACAUACCGUGAUUGGUCCUUCCGGAACGCGCGUCUAUAACCAACCCCCCACCGGAAGAUUCGGUGGUAGUGGUUCUUCCUCUUCUUCUUCUUCCGGCCCCGACUACACGUACCCAAUGCGACAAGGUUAUUACAAUGACUUUUAUGACUACUACAAUAGCGAUGGUGGGAACGGUGGCUACUACAAUUAUCCUCCUCCCGCCGUCGCGGUUGCAGGACCCUUUGGCGCGGGGGCGAGUGCCGGUGGCGUGGGGACCUUUGCAGGGACUGGGUCACGUGGUGGUGGUUCGGGAGCAUUUGCGGGUGCGGGGUCUCCAGAUUAUUUUGGGUAGAUUAGUACUUAUCUCCUCGUCUUGUUAUGUACACAACAUUUUAAAGAUUUUGAAAACGAAAUAAAAUUUUACUGACAAAAGAUCU